CUGGCGGCAGGCCUAACACAUGCAAGUCGAGCGCUCACUUCGGUGGGAGCGGCGGACGGGUUAGUAACGCGUGGGAAUAUGCCCGGUACUAAGGAAUAGCCUUUGGAAACGAAGAGUAAUACCUUAUACGCCCUUCGGGGGAAAGAUUUAUCGGUAUCGGAUUAGCCCGCGUAAGAUUAGAUAGUUGGUGGGGUAAUGGCCUACCAAGUCUACGAUCUUUAGCUGGUUUUAGAGGAUGAUCAGCAACACUGGGACUGAGACACGGCCCAGACUCCUACGGGAGGCAGCAGUGGGGAAUCUUAGACAAUGGGCGCAAGCCUGAUCUAGCCAUGCCGCGUGAGUGAAGAAGGCCUUASGGUCGUAAAACUCUUUCGCCAGAGAUGAUAAUGACAGUAUCUGGUAAAGAAACCCCGGCUAACUCCGUGCCAGCAGCCGCGGUAAUACGGAGGGGGUUAGCGUUGUUCGGAAUUACUGGGCGU
rnacentral:rRNA from 1 species